GACGGAGGAUGCAAGCGUUAUCCGGAAUGAUUGGGCGUAAAGCGUCUGUAGGUGGUUUAUUAAGUCUACUGUUAAAGAUCAGGGCUUAACCCUGAGUCGGCAGUAGAAACUAAUGAGCUUGAGUACGGUAGGGGCAGAGGGAAUUCCCGGUGGUAGCGGUGAAAUGCGUAGAGAUCGGGAGGAACACCAGUGGCGAAGGCGGUUGCCUGGGGCUUUGCUGACGCUGAUGCGCGAAAGCGUGGGGAGCGAUCCGG
rnacentral:rRNA from 1 species